rnacentral:rRNA from 1 species
UACGUGGGGUGCGAGCGUUGUCCGGAAUUAUUGGGCGUAAAGAGCUCGUAGGCGGUGUGUCGCGUCGGCCGUGAAAACCUGCAGCUUAACUGUGGGCUUGCGGUCGAUACGGGCAUCACUGGAGUUCGGCAGGGGAGACUGGAAUUCCUGGUGUAGCGGUGAAAUGCGCAGAUAUCAGGAGGAACACCGGUGGCGAAGGCGGGUCUCUGGGCCGAUACUGACGCUGAGGAGCGAAAGCGUGGGGAGCGAACAGG